rnacentral:rRNA from 1 species
UUCUGAAAGGGAUACUUCUUCGGACAUAUACAAGGUGCUGCAUGGUUGUCGUCAGCUCGUGCCGUGAGGUGUCGGGUUAAGCCCAUAACGAGCGCAACCCCUAUCAUUAGUUGCCAUCAGGUCAAGCUGGGGACUCUAAUGAAACUGCCUACGCAAGUAGUGAGGAAGGUGGGGAUGACGUCAAAUCAGCACGGCCCUUACGUCCAGGGCUACACACGUGCUACAAUGGCCGGCACAACGGGAAGCGAGUUCGCGAGGACGAGCGGAUCCCUUAAAGCCGGUCGCAGUUCGGAUUGAAGUCUGCAACUCGACUUCAUGAAGCUGGAAUCGCUAGUAAUCGUGGAUCAGCCAAGCCGCGGUGAAUACGUUCCCGGGCCUU